rnacentral:lncRNA from 10 species
GGCUAAGCCAGGACUGCUUUUCUGGAGUGAUAAUGUGCUUGCCUGUGUCUAAGAGAAAGGAGACAGCUUCCCAAGGCUGGAAAGAGGGGAGUGCGGAACAUGCCUCCACCAUACCACUGCCCACCUCCUGUGACCUCUGCAGCAAAACCUGAAGCCCCAAAGAGGCAGCUUCUCAAAGUAAAAGUGGAAUGAAGUUCCUGGUGACCUGAAUUCCCAUGGAGGAAAGAGGAAAAGGACAUUAUGCAAGGAGAUGGCAUCUCGUGUCCCUGGUGAACCAAAUUCCAUUAGGAAGACGGUGCAGUGUGAGGUGGACCUGGACCUGGAUAAAAUGGGUGUUUAACAAGUAUUUGUUGAGUAGGUGGUGGAGGAGGCACGACUAGAUGCAGGGUCUAGCUGAGUUGACAAGAGCUAACACCAGGUGUGGACCAGGACAGGGGGACCUUAAGCGAAGACACCCUGCCAGAUGUGUCUUGUUCCCUUGACUGUGGGGAGGCCCUUGGUGGUGGGGUGACGGUCCCCCAGUCUGAGGAUUUUCCCUGGAUGUAGCCUCUCAGUGCUAAAAUGGGACAGUCCCAGGCAAACCAGGUCAGUUGGUCACUCUACUCAGUGAGCCCCGUGCUGUGUUCAAAUUUUCCUCUUAACAGAUGUGGAUGGAUUUCGGAAACUUAGAAACCACCAUUUCUCUGUGCCUGGGAGGAGAGUUAAAUCUUCUCACCAGAAUCCUUUUAUGUGUGAGAGAAAUAAAUAUCUAUCCUUUUUAUAUCUCUUUUGUUUUGGAUUCUUUGUCACCAGCAGCCAAACCCAAUUCUUACAUAAACGUGAUACUAAUUAAAUUCAUUUGCAUAAACUCACCAGUUUUAUCCUUAAUUACUGUGAUAUACACUCAUGAAGUAUGUACCCUAAAAUACCACUGUAAGUUUUAUUUGAUUACAGCAUUAAACUUAAUUUACAGAAAUGCUUGGCUUCUUUCAAUAGCUUGUUGAUUACAUAGUAUGAUCAUCUUCUGAUAACUUAAAAGAAAAAAAAUGGAAGGACCCGUAUUCCUUCCAGCUUGUGAAUGGAGGCCCAGGGCACCAGACCCUGCUAUUGAAUUUGAAUAAAUGGGAUCUCUUUUGAACAGAAUCUGAGAGAUGGCAUUAACAUAUACCUCAUGGCCAAAGUGCAUUACAUUUAGCCUUUACUGCAGACAGUUGUUUUUGGAGACACACUAUGACCUUUGGUAUAUCUGCAUCUGUGAAACAAUAAAGCAUUCUUUAAAUGAAG